UCUCUCUCUGGCCCGAGUCCAGCCCACCUCCACACAUCGAAGGGGUAUCCCCUUCUCGUCUGUCCUCUUCCUGGACGAGUCACGCAGAAGGCGUGCUCGCCCUUCGCCACCACGCUGUGGUCCUCCACCACCACCUGCUCCCAUCCCCUCUCUUUAUCCCUCUCCGGAUCCAACCAAACCCUAGCUGCUUUCCCAUCCCUUGCGCCGCCACCCCUCUCUUCUUCCUCCACCAUCGUCCUCUCCAGGAAGGGAAACAGAAAUAAGAAAACUCCACUGCAGCCACCGUCCUCGCCAUGGCGCCAUCGCAGCAGGCCACCCCGCGUCAAGCCAAGGGUACCAGGAGAUCCGCUGCGUCGUCCUCUCCAUCCUCAUACAAGGAAUCGACUUGGGAGGCCUUCAAUUGUCGCCGAAUUCACCGAAUCCUCACUCCGGCUGCCGGCAUCUUCUUCGAAUUCCGGCCGUCUCCGUCCUCCUCCUCCGUUUCUGAGCACACCGAUGCGUUCCUGAUGCCGUCGCCGGUGGCUUCUCCGGUGGUUCCCCGGCUCCAACUUGGCCUCGCUCAGACUCCCCUUUGACUUCCGGUUCGAACGCGCCGUCUCUCGCAUCCUGGUUUGCCUCGAAUCGCCGGAUCGAUGCUCCACUUGAUCAAUUUCCGCCAUGGCUGCACCUUGGAAGCCGUCUCAGUAUUCUGCCAGUUCUUCUAGAAGCGCACCAGUAAACAAACAGGAUCAGCAAUGUACCGUAGUGAUCUGCCAAUGGGCCUGGCCCGAGAUCCGUCGGCUCAGUCCGUCGCCCGCCGCGUGACCAGAAGCUAUCUGUCGCCCGCAGUAGGCCAGAUCAGGCCCAGGACAUUGCAGCAUUUGCUUCUUCCCGGAUAGGAUCGCGAAGUGGUGUGGUGAGAUACGACAAGUUUUCCGGAUGUUCCUCGGCAAGCUUUAACA